GAAGAACCUUACCAGGUCUUGACUUCUUCUGCCAAUCUUAGAGAUAAGACGUUCCCUUCGGGGACAGAAUGACAGGUGGUGCAUGGUUGUCGUCAGCUCGUGUCGUGAGAUGUUGGGUUAAGUCCCGCAACGAGCGCAACCCUUAUUAUCAGUUGCCAGCAUUCAGUUGGGCACUCUGGUGAGACUGCCGGUGACAAACCGGAGGAAGGUGGGGAUGACGUCAAAUCAUCAUGCCCCUUAUGACCUGGGCUACACACGUGCUACAAUGGACGGUACAACGAGUUGCGAAGUCGUGAGGCUAAGCUAAUCUCUUAAAGCCGUUCUCAGUUCGGAUUGUAGGCUGCAACUCGCCUACAUGAAGUUGGAAUCGCUAGUAAUCGCGGAUCAGCAUGCCGCGGUGAAUACGUUCCCGGGCCUUGUACACACCGCCCGUCACACCAUGAGAGUUUGUAACACCCAAAGCCGG
rnacentral:rRNA from 2 species